GGACUUGGAUAAAAAAGUCUCCCAAGCAAAAGAUGUACGAGAAAAGUUUCUUGCAAUUUUUCCUUCUAAUAUUUUGCUAGUUUGAUCAAAAUUUUAUCCAUCAGAUCCCAUAUAUAUGAAGAUUGAAGAAAGCAGGUGCAACGGAUGCUCUUUUGGAAAUUGCAGAGAGGUAUUAACAAACAGAGAGCAAAACUGAAGAUCGGGUACUUGAUAUUAUGAAGCCAUUAGAGGCCGGAACUCAAAAUUUGGCCCAUUGAACGCUGAAGAACUAGCUGCACGGGUCGACGGAAAAGAAUACGAAUCCAAUCUGCUUCCAUGGUGGCGGCGUGGCUAGGAAGAAGAAGCUAGGGCUUUUUUCGUUCAUGAAAGAAGCUUCUAGAGUGGCUUUGGGCUACUUUGGACUAGGUUUCAACUUCCGGGUUCAAGUGUGUUGGGCUAGGCCUGAAGCCCAAAAUAGGUAACCAGGCUGGGACUAAGGCCAUGGUGAAGUAUAACACUACAGGCAUUGGGUCUUCCUUUGUAGACUUUGUUCCUAGGUUUCUGGGUUGCUUUGCCGGUUCGGAACCCGAUUUCGUUCCUGCCUAGUCUGAGGCGUCUUCGGUGGCUUUCCCGGCUGUCUCCAAGGACUCUGCAAUUCAGCAGUUGGGGUCUUCUCAGAGGUUGGUGAGUCUUGCUGAUUCUAGGUUCUCUUCCCCCACCGCUCGUCACCAGAGUUGUUGUCUUCAGUGUCGGCAUCAGUAAGUUGUUUGGUCUUUUUCUUUGGUUGCCUCUUCUCCAGCUGUUGCUUGCUUGGCUUUUCAGUCCUUCUCCGACGUGCAACCUCUGCAAGUUUCCUCUUCUUCUCAGUCUUGCAUCACCUCCUCUCAGUCUUUUUCAGGGGCGGCUAAGUUAGGAAAGAGGUUGCAUUCCUCUUCUCCUGUGUUGUUGUACUCUAAGCCGUUCCAAAAGUAUUAUCGGAAUGCUAUGGCAUAUGGACGAGAAUCUUUUUGCCGAUUCUAUUGACGCUUUGAGGCCAGUUGCUCAAGUUCUGGGGUUUCUUCCUCUACUCCCGACUAUUAGUGAUCUUGCUGAGAAAGUAGUUUACAUGAAGGAUAAGGGUAAGUCUCUUUCUCCGGUGAGGGGUUUUCUUUGGCGAGGGUUUCUCAACCUGAUGCAGGAGGAAAUCGAACACAACUAUAGAAUUAUUUAGUCUAUGAUGUGGCGAUGUGAUUGGUUUGAUUUAAGCAAGAAAGGGAAGGGUCAACUACUCAAGAAAAAAGAAGAGACCUUUGACAAUUAUGAUUUAGAAGAUAUUCUCUACCGAGUUGUCAACAUCCAUCAAGAGAAAGACCAAGAAGGAAAGAAGAGAUUAUCGACAAAUCUCUUGAUUCAUCUUUUAAAGAAUUCUCAUAUUUAUAUUUACGUUGUCGUCAAGUAAUAUUAUAGUUAUUAUUUUUUUCCCUAAAUAUGGUCAUUCUUUGGCACCAAGUAUUUUCCAUUAAUUUGGAGAUAUUCUUUGGUACCAAGUAUUUCCAUAAUAUGCUUAUUUGUAUUUAUUCAAGUCUUUGGAGAUUUUUUUUGGGUUUUACUAUUUUUGGUAAAAUCCUAUA